rnacentral:pre_miRNA from 1 species
UUACUACUCCCUCAGUUCCAAAUUACUCGUCGCAGAAAUGGAUGUAUCUAGAACUAAAAUACAUCUAGAUACAUCCAUACCUGCGACAAGUAAUUUGGAACGGAGGGAGUAUAUG